rnacentral:rRNA from 1 species
UACGUAGGGGGCUAGCGUUGUCCGGAAUCAUUGGGCGUAAAGCGCGUGUAGGCGGCCCGGUAAGUCCGCUGUGAAAGCCUGGGGCUCAACCCUCGGAUGCCGGUGGAUACUGUCGGGCUCGAGUACGGAAGAGGCGAGUGGAAUUCCUGGUGUAGCGGUGAAAUGCGCAGAUAUCAGGAGGAACACCAAUUGCGAAGGCAGCUCGCUGGGACGUUACUGACGCUGAGACGCGAAAGCGUGGGGAGCAAACAGG